rnacentral:rRNA from 1 species
GUCAAGUAAGAAUACCCGCUGAACUUAAGCAUAUCAAUAAGCGGAGGAAAAGAAACUAACUAGGAUUCCCUUAGUAACGGCGAGUGAACUGGGAAAAGCUCAAAUUUUAAAUCACCCCGGUGAAUUGUAAUUUGAAGAAAGUGAUUUGACUUUUCAGUUUAAUCUAAAUCCUUUGGGAUGAGGUAUCAUAGAGGGUGAGAAUCCCGUUCUUGAUUAAACCUCGGAUUGCACUAAUUCACUUUCUAAGAGUCGAGUUGUUUGGGAUUGCAGCUCCAAAUGGGUGGUAAAUUUCACCUAAGGCUAAAUAUAUGCAAGAGACCGAUAGCGAACAAGUACCGUGAGGGAAAGAUGAAAAGAACUUUGAAAAGAGAGUUAAAUAGUACGUGAAAUUGUUGAAAGGGAAACGAUUGAAGUCAGUCAUGCUAAUGAGGAAUCAACUUGGUGGUUUACUUCCUUGUGCAUUUUCUCGCUUGGCAGGUUAGCAUCAAUUUUGGUUGUCAUCAAAGAAUUAGGGGAAUGUGGCUUUUCUUCGGUAAAGUGUUAUAGACUCUGAUUGAUGUGGCGACUGGGAUUGAGGUUUGCAGCGAAUGCCUUUUUGGGCUAGUCACCUGUCUUCUGACCGUCACCUCGCUUUUGACAGCUUGCUGAUGAUCGCGGGAUUUGGCGACCUAGGAGUUAGAGUGAACAUAAAUUCGCUAAGGAAGCUGACGUAAUGGCUUUAAACGACCCGUCUUGAAACACGGACCAAGGAGUCUAACAUAUGUGCGAGUGUU